CCUACGGGAGGCUGCAGUGGGGAAUAUUGCGCAAUGGGCGAAAGCCUGACGCAGCGACGCCGCGUGCGGGAUGAAGUUCUUCGGAUCGUAAACCUCUGUCAGCAGGGAAGAACGGUCACUGUGCUAAUCAGCAGUGAAUUGACGGUACCUGCUAAGGAAGCACCGGCUAACUCGGUGCCAGCAGCCGCGGUCAUACGGAGGGUGCGAGCGUUAAUCGGCAUUCCUGGGCGUAAAGCGCUCGUAGGCGGUAUGUCAAGUCACGGGUGAAAUCCCCGCGCUCAACGUGGGAACUGCCUUUGAAACUGGCGAACUGGAGUGUGGGAGAGGAGAGUGGAAUUCCAGGUGUAGGAGUGAAAUCCGUAGAUAUCUGGAGGAACAUCAGGGGCGAAGGCGACUAUCUGGCACAUAACUGACGCUGAGGAGCGAAAGCGUGGGUAGCAAACAGGAUUAGAUACCCGUGUAGUC
rnacentral:rRNA from 1 species